CAGUGAGAAUGGACAUCCUGGGCAGCUCAUGCACAGCGUUCUUUCACAAACCACCGUCAUACAGUGUAAUUAGGAAUCUUCAAGCCCAAGUCACCAAAACAACACAAAUUACAAUUAGGGUUCAACGACUGCUCCAGACCCAUCCCGCUGAUGGGCAGCAACUGCAGGACCUGGCCCAGAGCUCCCUGUGGGGCACGGCGAGGCAUGUGACUGUGGUUUACUGCUGCUGGUGGCCCUCCUCCCUGGCCCUUUCCCCAGAGGAAUCCACAGACUUGUGCAUGGUGAGAAACACGUCUGGCAUGCCCAUGAGGAUCCUCAAUCCCCGUUAGCCCUGGAUACCUUGUGUCUGCAGAAAGCUUCUUACACAACCUGAGGUCACUUACAGGGUGAACAGUGGCAGGCAGGUGGUCUGCAGUGGCUCCCCUCAUCCACUAAGCCCGCCACUGGCGACAGCCUUCCUCGCUGUGGCAGUCACAGACCUUGCACCCGAUUAGUUGUAGCUGUGCUGGGACUUCAUGAGCAGAUGCUUCCAUUCCCACAUGUGGAGACAA